rnacentral:rRNA from 1 species
GCCCUACGGGGGGCUGCAGUGGGGAAUUUUGGACAAUGGGCGCAAGCCUGAUCCAGCCAUGCCGCGUGUCUGAAGAAGGCCUUCGGGUUGUAAAGGACUUUUGUCCAGGAGCAAGACUUAGAGAUGAAUAGUUUCUAGGGGUGAGAGUACUGGAAGAAUAAGCACCGGCUAACUACGUGCCAGCAGCCGCGGUAAUACGUAGGGUGCGAGCGUUAAUCGGAAUGACUGGGCGUAAAGAGUGCGUAGGCGGUUACGCGAGCUUGAUGUGAAAUCCCCGGGCUUAACCUGGGAAUGGCAUGGAGGACAGCGUAGCUAGAGUCUGUCAGAGGUGGGUAGAAUUCCCUGUGUAGCAGUGAAAUGCGUAGAGAUGGGGAGGAAUACCGAUGGCGAAGGCAGCCUGCUGGGAUAAGACUGACGCUGAGGCACGAAGGCGUGGGGAGCAAACAGGAUUAGAUACCCUUGUAGUCCA